CCUACGGGAGGCAGCAGUGAGGAAUAUUGGUCAAUGGCCGGGAGGCUGAACCAGCCAAGUCGCGUGAGGGAAGACGGCCCUACGGGUUGUAAACCUCUUUUGUCAGGGAGCAAGGUGCAGGUCGGGACCUGCUGUGAGAGUAGCCGAAGAAAAAGCAUCGGCAAACGCCGUGCCAGCAGCCGCGGGAAUACGGAGGAUGCGAGCGUUAUCCGGAUUGAGUGGGGUUAAAGGGUGCGCAGGCGGAGGCACAAGGCAGCGGUAAAAUCGCGGGGCUCAACCCCGCUCCGCCGUGGAAACUGUGUCCCUUGAGUGCGCGAAGGGUAGGCGGAAUGCGUGGUGUAGCGGUGAAAUGCAUAGAUAUCACGCAGAACCCCGAUUGCGAAGGCAGCAUACCGGUGCACAACUGACGCUCAGGCACGAAAGCGUGGGUAUCGAACAGGAUUAGAUACCCCUGUAGUC
rnacentral:rRNA from 1 species